rnacentral:rRNA from 1 species
CUACGGGCGGCAGCAGUGGGGAAUAUUGGGCAAUGGGCGCAAGCCUGACCCAGCAACGCCGCGUGAGGGAAGAAUGUCUUCGGAUUGUAAACCUCUGUCCUUGGGGACGAAAAAAAUGACGGUACCCAAGGAGGAAGCUCCGGCUAACUACGUGCCAGCAGCCGCGGUAAUACGUAGGGAGCAAGCGUUGUCCGGAAUUAUUGGGCGUAAAGGGUGCGUAGGCGGCGCUGUAAGUCAGAUGUGAAAUCCCCGGGCUUAACUCGGGAGUUGCAUUUGAAACUACAGUGCUUGAGUAAAGAAGGGGUAAGUGGAAUGCCUAGUGUAGCGGUGGAAUGCGUAGAUAUUAGGAGGAACACCAGUGGCGAAGGCGACUUACUGGUCUUUUACUGACGCUGAGGCACGAAAGCGUGGGGAGCAAACAGGAUUAGAUACCCGCGUAGUC